ACGGACGAUGGCGACUACAACAUCAAGAUGCGCAACAUCCGCCGCUUUCUGGCGGACGGCGACAAGUGCAAGAUCACGCUGCGGUUCCGUGGCCGUGAAAUCACGCACCAGGAAUUGGGCUUGGCCUUGCUGAACCGCAUCCGCGACGAGCUGGCAGAUUCCAUCAUCAUCGAGCAGUUUCCCAAACUGGAAGGCCGCCAGAUGAUCAUGAUGAUCGCCCCGGGCAAGAAGAAGCCUGCGGCCAAGCCGGUGGCGGAAGCUGCUCCGGCGUCUGGCACUUCGGCCUGAAUGGAUUGGAGAAUUUGAGCGCUGCAACCGCAA
rnacentral:misc_RNA from 1 species